rnacentral:lncRNA from 1 species
AAUAUUUUAGAUUAUUUCUUAAUUUGGGUUUAAUUUUAUCGUUAAUUCGAUGUUUUCUCUUUUUGAGAUUAUUCUUUCUUGAGUUUUAAGAGUAUACAUUAGAACAACAUUUAGUAUCGCUUCCACAGGUCAAUAUGACAAACAUCAAUAUCAUCAUGACAUACAAAAAUGACGAGAAUUAAAACCAUUAUAUGUGAUGCAUAUACGGCAAGAGUCAACCCUCUUAUUAUUGCUUGCUCAAAUGAAAAAAAAUCAAAACCAUUAUCCAUGCAUACAUAUAUGGAAAUUAAAGAAUCAUGACUAGUAUUUUAUUAUUUCAGUAUGAGUUAGAGUCAUGGCUUUCUAUAUGAUAUUAAAGCCAAAUUCAUACGUGAGUGAACUCACAUUACCUUACCAUGUGAUAGUGGCUAGGUAAAAAAAAAAAAACAACAUGCUUGCAUGUAAUACAAGUGUUACAGACAUAUCCCGUAUUAGAUAAGAUUUGUUACUCUUGAACUAAUCUUUUAGUAUGAAUUAGUCUCAUAGGAUUCUAGAAUAUAUGGAUAGAGAAAAUUGUAAAGCAUAUUAGACAUAGAAUAUUUAUUACAAACUAAAUGUACACUGCACAAAUAGAUACGGCAUACAAAUAUCAUAUAACUCUAAAACUAAAUUAGGAAAAAGGACAGUUACACCCCCCAAGCUUUGAGGAAUGGUCACGCAAAUAGUCAAGUUUUUAAUAAGGGAUAUCAACUAAGAUUCUCUGUUGAUCAUAACAUCCUUUGCCUCUAUUAACCUGAAAAGAACUGACUCCAAUGGUUUAUAAGAAUAAAAAUUUA